CUCAGGGGUAUCCUGAGAGCUGCAGCUACUGAGGGAAGAGACGUUGACAGUAGGAGAGCUGCUGGGAUGCAUGGGCUGAAGGGAGGGGUCUGCUCUGAUUCUGUUGCACAGGUCAGCAAAUUCUGCUUCAAAGGACCAGGAGAAUGGCCUGGAGAUGAUUUUUCCUUGGUCGAGGACAUCCUCCUUUGCAGCCUCCCCCAGCUCCGCUCUGCCUUCAUCUCUGUUUUGAUCUCUCUCCCAGUCAGCUUGUCUUGCUGCUGUCCGCUCUGUCUUGCGUGCCCUGUGGGAAUGAGUUUCAGAAAGCACUACUCACUGAUAGGAAUCGAGGGAACACUUAAAAGGCCUUGCAACAUAAAUCCUGGCGGUGUACUGCCAGCAGCUGAUUUGGGCCGUCCAGGAUCCUGUCACCACAAAUGCUUCAUAGCCAAAUGCAGCGAUACAGUGUCUUGGGGAAAAGCUAACUCACAGAUAUUUUUUCCACAUCCACAGCAUAGGAACACAGGCCAGCAUCAGCACGGACAGCAGCACAGCGGAGACCACAGCAAUCACUGGGAUGUGGUGUUUUCGCAGCUCUUCGCCAACAGCGGCCGUUGUGAUUUUCCCAACAUCCACCCCUGGAAGAACCGAGACAAUGCCACAGGUUACUGUCAUCUGCGCUGCAGAUGAUCUCACAGUGUGCUUCAUGGACCCAAGAGUCUCCCGUGCUUGAAGUUUUGAAGACCAGCAGUGCGUCAGUGGAAUCAGUGAAGACCAUCUACUCACCCAUGGGAUUCCAACUGGUCUCCAUCGCAGGAAGGAGCCGAGAAACCAGCAAGGCCCUCCCUGGGGGCACUUCUGCAACCAAAGACCCAUGAAAAGUUUCCGUGCACAACGGCAUCACUGAAUAGUGGAGCAUACCAGGGGAUCGUGCAAGGAAAGGGCAUACACGCACAGGACUACGCUCUCACACCUGCAGACAGACCUGGCCGACAUUUGGCCUUUGAGCUGGCAGCUCUCAAAGGAACUAAAAAGCCAUGACAUACCCAUGUGAUCUGCCGGAGUUUCAGUCCUGGAACUCAGAGGGGAAGCUGGAGCAC
rnacentral:lncRNA from 1 species